rnacentral:rRNA from 1 species
UAGAGUUUGAUCAUGGCUCAGGACGAACGCUGGCGGCGUGCUUAACACAUGCAAGUCGAACGGAGAUAAAGCCUUCGGGUUUUAUCUUAGUGGCGGACGGGUGAGUAACAUGUGGGUAACCUGCCUAUUUGCUGGGGACAACAGUUGGAAACGACUGCUAAUACCGAAUACGCUCUUUUGAUCGCAGGAUCGAGAGAGGAAAGAUGGCCUAUCCAAGGAAGCUAUCGCAAAUAGAUGGACCCGCACCUGAUUAGCUAGUUGGUGAGGUAAAGGCUCACCAAGGCGACGAUCAGUAGCCGGCCUGAGAGGGUGGCCGGCCACACUGGGACUGAGACACGGCCCAGACUCCUACGGGAGGCAGCAGUGGGGAAUCUUCCGCAAUGGGCGAAAGCCUGACGGAGCAACGCCGCGUGAAUGAAGAAGGCCUUCGGGUCGUAAAGUUCUGUCUUUAGGGAAGAAGUCUCUUUAUGUGAAUAAAGUAGAGAGUUGACGGUACCUGAGGAGGAAGCUCCGGCUAA